UGGGGAAUAUUGCACAAUGGGCGAAAGCCUGAUGCAGCGACGCCGCGUGAGUGAAGAAGUAUCUCGGUAUGUAAAGCUCUAUCAGCAGGGAAGAAAAUGACGGUACCUGACUAAGAAGCCCCGGCUAACUACGUGCCAGCAGCCGCGGUAAUACGUAGGGGGCAAGCGUUAUCCGGAUUUACUGGGUGUAAAGGGAGCGUAGACGGCGAUGCAAUUCUGAAGUGAAAGCCCGGGGCUCAACCCCGGGACUGCUUUGGAAACUGUGUGGCUGGAGUGCAGGAGAGGUAAGUGGAAUUCCUAGUGUAGCGGUGAAAUGCGUAGAUAUUAGGAGGAACACCAGUGGCGAAGGCGGCUUACUGGACUGUAACUGACGUUGAGGCUCGAAAGCGUGGGGAGCAAACAGGAUUAGAUACCCUGGUA
rnacentral:rRNA from 1 species